AUGCGCUCACAUUCGCUCAAAAGCACAACAAAUUCUGACAUGUUAGCAACAACAAUUUCUAAGCUUUCCAAAGCACCAUCUGACUCGAGGCGAAUGUCCUUGUCGUCGUUCACCAUUGUUGUUCGAGAACGUUUGAGUGGAAUGGCUAAAUACAAACUGCUGCUAGAUGAGUUAUUGCUGCUAACCUCAUCAAAGCCUGCAUCGUCUUGGAGGGCUCGGGACCUCCAGGUAUCAAGCAGACGGUGCCCUCUGUACAUGGCCUCUGAGAGCAUCUUGAGCUGCAUCAUCAUCCCUGAGUUGGUUAUGUAUCGAGCGCCUGCUUCCUCGACGAUGGUGCUGUCAGUAUGGAACGACACCUAUGGGAUCACAAGAAUCCCUACUACGGUUGCCGGGGCGCGGGAUUGCGAGAAGAGCAGGGCUAGUAGACAGCACAAGGAUCGUUUACCCAGGUUCGGGCCGCGAGGAUGCGUAAAACCCUAG
rnacentral:rRNA from 1 species